CCGGGAAAACAAUCGGAGUGGUUCUAGUCGGUGAGCCUGGGAAAACCGACCGAGUUCGUUGUGAGCUCGUAAAACAACAAGUUCGGUUGUGAGCUUGCAAAACAACCGGCUGUAAUCCAAGGGGGUUAUAGUGAAAUUCCCAAGUGAGACUUGGGGAGUGGACGUAGGAGCAAGGGUUAGCUCCGAACCACUAUAAAACUUUGUGUUUGUAGUGCAUUGUCUCUCAUCUUCUUCCUCACACAUUACUCACAGCACUUAGCUUUAAUUAAAUAACUGGCUAUAGUAUUUAGUUAAUCAUCCACAAAGUUUUAAUUAGCUAAGUUAAUUUAAAAACCCAAUUCACCCCCCCCCCCUC
rnacentral:lncRNA from 1 species